GUCCCGGUGGUGUGUGUGGUUAGCACGCCCGUCUGAUAAACGGGAGAUGUUAGGUUCGAUUCCUUAGUGUGACA
rnacentral:tRNA from 1 species